ACAUCCUUCGAGCUUUACCUUCUCGCCUCUGCUCGCUUUUAACCGAUUCCUCAACUUUCGAUUUCUUUGUAUAGUCUCGAUGUGGCGAGAGAGAGAGGAGAGAGAGAAAGUGAGAGAGAGAGAGCGAGGAUGGUAUAUCGAUUGCCGUGGCACGGCUGCGAUCGAUGUUUAUGUGGUGGACCUUUGGGCUAUUUGAGCAUUUUGUAGACAUUCGACUAGCUCGUGCUGGUUUCUUUAACAAUUGGUUUGCGUGCAUCUCAGCAUGGUAUGGGAAGCCUUUGUGCACGCUAGGGUUGGGGAUGCUCCGCGUUGUUUGAUUGGAUCUAAUCGUGUUUGGUUGGAGAAUAUUUGAUAGAUUGAUUGGUUCAUGACAUCAAAUGCCGACUUAUCGACCUUGUUGUUGGUUAUACGUUACGAUCAAUCAUUGAAUUGUGGUGAGCAUGCCGGAAUUGACGGGUUUACUAGCGUCCAGGAUAGAACAACUUCUGUUUCCUGUUUUGUUUCGGGAGGAGUACUCUAACGCUCAUGAUUGGGGUCCUCUUUCUUUAAUUCUACCUCUGCGGCGGUCUAUUGUUCACUCCGAAUAGUGAUUGAUGACAUUCUUCUUGAUUUGUUUUCCGACUUCGUCAGUUUCUCUCAGACAUGCACAUAUUAUCCAGUCUGGAUGAUGUUAGGUAUUGGCAGAUUCUCUGUACUUGAGAUCAUUCGACGUUGUUGCGGAGUUCGUGCCCACUGCCGAAACUGAACAGAUUAAAUGUUCAGUAAACGAAGGAACGAAAGCCUUUGUAUUAUGCUUCCCUGAGAGGUUUCUCAGUAGACCUGUAAUUGCCACUCUCAAUUUUAAACCUAGGGGCACAUCAUUGAAAUCAGUCAUGACCUCUCAUUAGGUGGAACAAUGGUGUUUGCCUAACACCUUAUCACAUCUUUCGAAAGAGAUUUACGCACUCAAUACACAACCGAAUUUUUAAUCGCUAACUUUGCUCUUUGUUCAUAGAUGAAAUCUAUUUUCCUCUCAGUAGAUUUGUUAACCACCGUGUUAACCGAGGUCGUAAAAUUACGAUUUAAGGAAGUGUUUCAAGCACUGUGCAUUGUAAACAG
rnacentral:lncRNA from 1 species